AAAUAGUGUAACUUUCGCUCAAAUAGUGAUAGUUUCAUCUCAAACAGUAUAAUUUUUAUCUCAAACAAUAUAAAUUUCGCUCAAAUAGUACAAUUUUCGAUAUACGAGUGUAAUUUAAUUCAUCUUAAGGAGUACAACUUUCGUCUCAAAUGGUGCAACUUUUUUUUGAAACAGUGCAAAUUCAUCUUCUCCUUCUUUCUUCUCUAAUUAUUUGCCUUUUCUGUGACAACGACGAUACAUAAUGAUCUUUCAAAGAGAAAAUUUUUUUUUCUUUUUUUUAUUUUUUUAUUUUUUAUUCUUAUUUUUCUACCUUCUCCAUCUUUUUUUGCUAUCGCGUCCUCUCCCUCGCCCUACACUGCAACCACCGUCCUCACCAGACGCACUCUCCCGCCUCGUCGUCCUUAAAUCCUUCAAUACCCUCAUCGCUACCACUAUUUGCGGUCAUGUGCUCCAUUGCAAGCUCACUUCACGCGAUCUACAUCAUAUCUGAGUCGGCGUCAGUUUUUCUACCCUCUGCAUCUUCUUCCUUGAUCUUUACAUUAAUCAACCAUAAAUUUGUAAUAAUCAAAUUAAAUUU
rnacentral:lncRNA from 1 species